rnacentral:rRNA from 2 species
GACGAACCGUGCGAACGUUGUUCGGAAUCACUGGGCUUAAAGGGCGCGUAGGCGGGCUGUCAAGUCUGGGGUGAAAUCCCGCGGCUCAACCGUGGAACUGCCUCAGAUACUGACGGCCUCGAGGGAGGUAGGGGCAUGCGGAACUGUAGGUGGAGCGGUGAAAUGCGUUGAUAUCUACAGGAACUCCGGUGGCGAAAGCGGCGUGCUGGACCUCUUCUGACGCUGAGGCGCGAAAGCUAGGGGAGCAAACGGG